CCCUUAGAUGUUCUGGGCCGCACGCGUGCUACACUGAGUGGAUCAGCGGGUCAGGUUGCGCGAAAGUGUUUCCUAAUCUUUAAAUCCGCUCGUGAUGGGGAUUGACGGUUGCAAUUUUCCGUCAUGAACGAGGAAUACCUUGUAAGCGCGGGUCAUCAUCCCGCGCUGAAUACGUCCCUGCCCUUUGUACACACCGCCCGUCGCUCCUACCGAUUGAGUGGUCCGGUGAGGCUUUGGGAUCUGAGCGGAAAGAGCGUCUCGCUGUUUCUGUCCGGAAAACUCAGUCGAACCUUAUCAUUUAGAGGAAGGAGAAGUCGUAACA
rnacentral:rRNA from 1 species